rnacentral:rRNA from 1 species
UACGAAGGGGGCUAGCGUUGCUCGGAAUCACUGGGCGUAAAGCGCACGUAGGCGGCUUCUUAAGUCAGGGGGGAAAUCCUGGAGCUCAACUCCAGAACUGCCUUUGAUACUGAGGAUCUCGAGUCCGGGAGAGGUGAGUGGAACUCCGAGUGUAGAGGUGAAAUUCGUAGAUAUUCGGAAGAACACCAGUGGCGAAGGCGGCUCACUGGCCCGGUACUGACGCUGAGGUGCGAAAGCGUGGGGAGCAAACAGG